UACACCAUGGGGAGCUGGUAAUGCCCAAAGUCGGUGAGUUAACUUCGGAGACCAUUGCCUAAGGCAGGACUGAUGACUGGGGUGAAGUCGUAACAAGGUAUCCCUACGAGAACGUGGGGAUGGAACACCUCCUUUCUACGGAGUACAUUAGUCUUAAUUGACUUAUUACAUAAUCGAUUCGUGUCUAGUUUUGAGAGCUUUAAGUUCUCAAUUAUAGUUCUUUGAAAACUGAAUAGCAAAUAACAAUAUGAUUAACUUCAUAUUUAUUAUUUCAACGAUCUUUUUUAUAACCGAGUUUAAUUUUUAAAUUAAAUUUCUAAAAUAGAUUACCAAUAUUAAAAUACCUUAAGAUAUUUAUCUUUAGCAAUAAUAGGCAAUAUUAAAGUUGUAUUAACUUUUAAAUUAAGUAAGAGUAUUUGGUGGAUGCCUUGGGUCUGAAAGUCGAAG
rnacentral:misc_RNA from 1 species